CCCCAUGAAAUAAAUUUGUGCAUUUUGGAUGAUUGCUUGUGGAAAAUGGAGAACGAUAGUUAUUUAUAGAAGAGGAGUGUAGAGAGUAGAAUUUACCAAAGCACUUCAGUUUUUAAAAGUUCAUUGUGGGAGCUGAAUGGAAAUUUGAGCGACAGAUUUUUUUGGUUAUAUCCGAAGCUUAUGAGUACACAUGUAGUGUGGCCUCUAACAGAAGAUAAGUUCUGUUUUUUUUUUCUCGAUACUGAACUAGUAGUGAAUUUAUCUAUUUUAUAAUCUACAUGCUGAUGGCGAUUGUUUCAUUAGCUACAUAAUAUUGCCUCUAAAAUAUUAUUUUUUAUGGCAAUUCAUUAUUUCUAUGACGAGGAGAAUAAGAGAUAUUUAGUGAA
rnacentral:lncRNA from 1 species